AAAACAUUUAGCAUUUGGUUUUUUGGGAUCGGCUAACUUCACUUAGCAUUAUCUUCUCUAACUGCAUCCAUUUACCUGCAAAUGCCAUGAUUUUAUUCUCUUUUAAUGCUGAAUAAUAUUCCAUUGUGUAUACAUGCCACACAUUUUUAUUCAUUCAUCUACUGAAGGGCAUCUAAGUUGGUUCCACUGUUUAGCUACUGUGAAUUGUGCUGCUAUAAAUAUUACAAAUCUGCUCCCAUUCUGUAGGCUCUCUAUUCACCUCAGUGACAUUCCUCACAGAAAUAGAAAAAGUAGUCAUGAAAUUCAUCUAGAAAAAUAAGAGACCCAGAAUAGCUAAAGCAAUCCUUAGCAGGAAGAGUGAAGUAGGUGGCAUCACUAUAGCAGACCUUAAACUACACUACAGAGCAAUAGUAUCAAAAACAGCUCCACCAAAACAGACUAGUAGAUCAAUGGUACAGAAUAGAGGACACAGAGACUAACCCACAAAAUUACAAUUAUCUUAUAUUAGACAAAGGUGCCAAAAACAUGCAUUGGAGAAAAGAUAGCCUCCUCCACAAAUGGUGCUGGAAAAACUGGAAAUCCAUAUGCAACAAAAUGAAAUUAAACCUCUGUCUCUCACCAUGCACAAAACUGAACUGAAAGUGGAUCAAGGACCUAGGAAUUAAACCAGAGACACUGUGUCUAAUAGAAGAAAAAGUAGGUCCUAAUCUCCAUCAUGUGGGAUUAGGCCCCAAUUUCCUUAAUAAGACUCCUAUAGCACAAGAAUUAAAACCAACAAUCAACAAAUGGGAUGGACUCAAACUAAAAAGUCUCUUCUACUUCUUUUUAAAAAGUUUGUACCAGGGAUUGAACCCAGGGGUGCUUAAUCACCGAG
rnacentral:lncRNA from 1 species